GGGCCGGUAGCUCAGUCGGUCAGAGCAGGGGACUCAUAAUCCCUUGGUCCUUGGUUCGAAUCCAAGCCGGCCCACCA
rnacentral:tRNA from 1 species